GGAGAAUCGCUUGAGCCCAAGAGUUCCAGACUAGCUUGGGCAACAUAUAAAUCCUUGGCUGAUAGAUGCAAUGAAAGCAGCCUGUGUGUUUAACUUCUGGAUCAGCAUAGCAUCCAAUGAUAGAGCGGUACAGUUGUCUCAGGUAAGACACACUCCCUCUCCUGUUUCCUCGAAGGAGACAAUCUCAAACACCUUCCAAUCAUAGCAUCAAGCACACAGUCCAGGAUCCUUGGUAAGCUAAUAUCUAGGGAUGAUGUGAAAUAUUUGCAUCAGAUCCAGCUAUGGCCCCUGAUGACCCAGAGACCUGUAACUAAAAA
rnacentral:lncRNA from 1 species